GACGAACGCUGGCGGCGUGCUUAACACAUGCAAGUCGAACGGAAAGGCCCUGCUUUUGUGGGUUUCUCGAUUGGCGAACGGGUGAGUAACACGUGAGUAACCUGCCCUUGACUUUGGGAUAACUUCAGGAAACUGGGGCUAAUACCGGAUAGGAUCUCCUGCUGCAUGGUGGUGGUUGGAAAGUGUCGGCGUUGGGGGAUGGGUUGGCUGGUUAUCAGCUUGUUUGUGGGGUAGUGGCUUACCAAGGCUUUGAAGGGUAGCCCGCCUGAGAGGGUGACAGGCCACACUGGGACUGAGAUAAGGCCCAGACUGCUAAGGGAGGCCGCAGUGGGGAAUACUGCACAAUGGGCGGAAGCCUGAUGAAGAAACGCCGCGUGCGGGAUGACGGUGUUCGGGUUGUAAACCGCUUUCGCCUGUGACGAAGCGUGAGUGAAGGUAAUGGGUAAAGAAGCACAGGCUAAAUACGUG
rnacentral:rRNA from 1 species